UUUUUCUUUUCAGCCUUUGCGUGGGAAACAAGUUCACCAUGCUGUGCGUGCAUUUCUGAUUCACAGUUUCUACUGUAUGCCUUGUUAUUAUCGCCUGUGCGUAGCUCAGGCUGAAGCAGUGAAUGAAACGUGGCAUCUGUUUUUCAGGAGGAUGAAAAAGGCCUUCGUUCUGCAUCUGUCUGAAACUGGCGUAGUGGCUCCUUUGGUGGUGGCUCAGUACGGUAAAGGAGCAGAUCUAGAGGGUGUUUUGGUGAACUGGGAUGUUUGGCUGCUGUUGUCCCCUCCACACCAACCCCCACUCACGUGUUCACUCAGGUUUAAUGACGGUGGAGUGGCUGGCCGCUUUAUGUCCCAGGGUACCCUCAUGUUUGUGUUACGUUCUAGCUAUCCCUUAGCUAGUCUAGCCAGAAUCCCCUAGCUUGCACUCUGCACACAAUGUACAUUGUCCUUAACCAUUAUGUGACACUUAGCAUACCCAGUAAUCUGUUUCUUUCUCUAUCUCUCUCUCUCUCUCUCUCUCUCUCUCUCUCUCUCUCUCUCUGAUCCUGACCCCUUCUGCUCUACAG
ensembl:lncRNA